AGCGAACGCUGGCGGCAGGCCUAACACAUGCAAGUCGAACGAAGUCUUCGGACUUAGUGGCGGACGGGUGAGUAACACGUGGGAACGUACCUUUUGGUUCGGAACAACUCAGGGAAACUUGAGCUAAUACCGGAUGAGCCCUUAGGGGGAAAGAUUUAUCGCCGAAAGAGCGGCCCGCGUUAGAUUAGCUAGUUGGGGAGGUAAGGGCUCACCAAGGCUACGAUCUAUAGCUGGUCUGAGAGGAUGAUCAGCCACACUGGGACUGAGACACGGCCCAGACUCCUACGGGAGGCAGCAGUGGGGAAUCUUGCGCAAUGGGCGAAAGCCUGACGCAGCCAUGCCGCGUGAAUGAUGAAGGUCUUAGGAUUGUAAAAUUCUUUUACCAGGGACGAUAAUGACGGUACCUGGAGAAAAAGCCCCGGCUAACUUCGUGCCAGCCGCCGCCGUAAGAC
rnacentral:rRNA from 1 species